UAACGGUGUAGCGUGCAAGGACGGGAGUGGAAGAAGUGUCAAAAGAUGGCGCGAAGUGUUGAGACUCCGACUUGACUUCAAUCAAUAGCGGAUCAGCAUCUCCUCAUUCGUGGCUAAACUAGUGCAAUAACAUUGCCAGAAAUGUGUCCCGUGAAAAACUGUCCCACCGGAACUCUACUAACUAAAGUUUCUUGGGUGAAUAAUGUAAACUUACUACACCGGUAUGUUUUAGCGCUUUCAUGGCGAGUUUACUGACAGACAUAAGUAAGAACUUUACACUACUUUAUAUUAGAAAUGGGAACAGUGGAGGACGAAUGUCCCAUAACAAGAAGAUACAGAAAAAGAAAAGGCUUAUCGGCUAGGGGGUCGACACAGACUAUAAAGGCGGACGGGUUAUAAGUGCACUGUCGAGUUUUGAGAGAAUUAAAGGAUUUCAAGUGCGCCUUAUAGUCCGAUAAAUACGGUAAUACUAUUGGAGAAAGUCAGAACACACAAAAAAAAGAAAAUAAAGUUGUAAAGUUAUGAGAAUAAAAUAGCAAAGUAACAAGAAUAAAGUCAUAAUGUCAAGUUAUGGGAAUAGAAAUAAGGGGACGUGGUACAAGAAUAAAGUUUCAAUCUUAGGAGAAUAGCUGUUACAUUCCGAAAAUUAAGUCAUAAUGUAAAACUAUGGAAAUGUAGUUGUAAUCUUACAGUUAUAUUCAGUUCAUCUGCUAUGUUGGUUGUGCUUACUCAUUUAAUUUUUUCUCCUUCACACCCCAAAAGGGACAAGCGGUAGAAAAAUGGAUGGAUGUUUGGACCAUUCAAUUCCGGCGGAAGAAGGGCCAAGAGCGUGACGGCGCUCCUGAAGAUGCCAAUCCAGCAAAGCAUGUGGCUUGUCACCACAACGCCCAGCAGAAGAUCCUGGGACUGAAGCGCGCACGUCCCUUCACGCCCAUGGCCUGGACUGAGUUUCAGCUGGCCUGCUGAAGCCAUGGGGAGCUGUUGGAGCUGUCUGUACAGGGACCCCAUCCGAGACAACCAUCUCACCCAGUUUAAGCGGUGUAGCAUGCAAGCACGAGAGUCAAUCUUCAAUCAACGCACCUGGUCUUGAUGAGGAGCAGCAACAUAAAGGCUCACUCUGCUGACUACUCUACGCCGGAACGUAGACACUGUUACAUGUCUCAGCAAAGAGCCGUGUGCCUCACCUGCUGAUCUUCCCCUGGAACCUGACUGCUUUCCUCGAUCCUCGACUUACCCGCUCUCGGACCUGGACCUCUCUCCUACCCCACGGACCUCACUCGGAUCACGGACCUCCUUUUGCUCCGCCCCUUUGGACUUGUUUGUUGCCACAACCAACACGCACUAACAACAACCUUUGGUAAAUCCGAUAUGGUUAAAAUCUACAUAUAGACUUGCAUGCACACACAUAGUAGCAUACACACCCUACGUAGCCAUCAAAAGUUCAAUACAACCCGUUGAGCUAGACCUACUGCUGUAGUGCUGUCGCCUUCCUCCCCGUCGUACUUAACACACCGGUAUGUUUUAGCGCUUUCAUGGCGAGUUUACUGCCAUAUAAGUAAGAACUUUAUGAUGCUUUGUAUUAGAAAGGGCAACAACGGAAGAUAACAUAACAAGAAGAUAGAGAAAAAGAAGAAGCUUAUCGACUAAGGAGUCGUCAUGGACUACAAAGGCAGACCCCCGCAAUUUUUCAGGAUUUAUGCAGAUCCCAAAUGCAGAUCAGCAGGUACGUGAAGGUAAGAAAAGUUGCUUUUGUAUAAUAUUGCGAAACAAAACGCCAGAUAAUAUGUCUUACCUUUUACACACUAUAAUAAUACAACUAUGUUGAAGCACAGUACAAUCCAUCAAGAGGUGCGGCUUCAUAGCUUACCAAAGUCGUACUAAAACUAUUGAUAGAUUUUUGAGCACUGUGUCUAAUGUUUUAUAUUUUCAAUGGAACAUAUAAAAUGUUGGUGUUGUUACUCGA